rnacentral:lncRNA from 1 species
CUCAUCACCAAGGAGAACCUUCGGUUAACACGGUUUAUCUGGCAGAAAGUUUCCCAGAAAACUGAUGAUGAUCAGAAGGUGUUCCUGUAUGAUAAAGGUCAUCUUUACAGUGAUGAGCGUCCAGGUCAGAGUGAGCAGUUCAAAGGUCGAGUCUCACAUUUUCCAGAUGAACUGGAACAAGGCAACGCCUCCAUAAUCAUCAGAAUACAACGAGGGCUGACAGUGGAGACUACAGAUGUAUUAUUUAUCUAGAUCUUCAGAAACCUCAAGAAUGCCACAUUAAGCUUGAUGUUGUUGGUUCAACUCCAGAGUCAAAAGAACAUCAUUCAUUAAUGAUGGAAGAAAGGCUUGAUAAUGUCUGUGUUUCUGGAAACAUUUAUUUGUCUUCAGUUAUUUUAUGCUUGUGUUAUAUCACAAUGUAUAGGCUCAUUGAUUUUGUCUUGCAGUUCUAGUUGAUUGUGUAACUGUGUGUAAGACUUGUACAGUAUUCCUGUUCCAGAGGUGUGUAGAGCAGAGAGGACCAGAUCAACAUGAUGAUGCUCUUAGAAGUCUUGUCUUCUUGUAUUCAGACAUAAUUACAAUGUUUUCUGUGAUGUGUGUGAAAUAUUGUGUAAAAAAAGGUCACUUCAUUUAAUGUUUUUUGUUAUUUUAUAGUGUGUUUUAUUACAGUAGUUAGCUCUUUAGACAAUCAUUUCUUGCUUGUGUAUUUAGAAGAAUAGUAAAGGCUGAGAUGUGGUAUUGAUCUUCUUAUCUAACUCAGUGAGAAAGUGAAUAAAGUGCCCUGGUGGGUCACCGGGUAGACCUGGUACUUUAGGCUGAGUCCUCACCACAGUGACUUUGGUUUGAGUCCACCACAGAGCCCUUUGCUGCAUGUCAUCUCCUGUCUUUCCUGUCUGUCUCUAUCACUAUCUUUUAGAAGCAGAAAUGCGAAGAAAUAAGUAUUUAGAAAAGAGUACACUACUAUGUUCUUG